CAUGCCAACUCUCGCCAUGUGCUCAAGAACAUCAAGCAAAUAGCCAUGGAGAUUCAUUCGGAUCUGUCAAAAAAAAACGUAGCUCAGAUCACAUCACACCAAGUGUUCUGGCCGUACCUGCACCUGAUGAGGUGUGCGGGCUUUAAACUUAUCGCCUCGAGAGCCGGAGGAAUUUGGAGGGAGGUUGUUUGGGCGUUAGAGAAAGAAUGGUAGUGCGAAAUCAGCUAAACAUCUCAUAUCCGGUACUCCCAUGGCUGUCGCAGCACCACUGAAUUGUUUUGUACCAUAGAAAAGCAAUUGCUGAACACCUAUACAAAAUUUUGUUGUUGCUGUUAUUCCGUUUUAAUGCAACUGUUAGAAAUCAUGCACAGAAUAUAAGGGAACAUGUAUAAAAUAGAUUUACUAAAAUUCUGUUUAAUAUCAUGAGGCAGCAUAGUGUAAUUAUAUAGCACUGUGGAUAUCGAAUAAAUUAAAUUAUUGCGAAUUAGCGAAAUUUAGCGUGUGGGCAAGAGAGGUGCUUUAUAACCUGACAUGUGGUAGAAAAACCCGCAUUGCACAAACUAGAUUUAUUGAAGUGAGAGGUCUUAUCUCACUAAAUCUAGUUUUUGUAUUGUGGGUUUUUCUAACAGUAUCAACACGUUAGAGUGCUUUCCAUUCAACCUGACAUGUAUUAUAUGUUGUGUUUUCUUGAACUGAUUAGUUAUAGAUUAUAGUUUAUUUAAUUAUAUAUAUAUUUGUUGAUUGUAUUUUGAAAUAAAGAUUUGUGUAAUCGUUUUAA